GAUGAACGCUGGCGGCGUGCCUAAUACAUGCAAGUCGAGCGAAUGGAUUAAGAGCUUGCUCUUAUGAAGUUAGCGGCGGACGGGUGAGUAACACGUGGGUAACCUGCCCAUAAGACUGGGAUAACUCCGGGAAACCGGGGCUAAUACCGGAUAACAUUUUGAACCGCAUGGUUCGAAAUUGAAAGGCGGCUUCGGCUGUCACUUAUGGAUGGACCCGCGUCGCAUUAGCUAGUUGGGGAGGUAACGGCUCACCAAGGCAACGAUGCAUAGCCGAGCAGAGAGGUGGAUCGGCCACACCGGGACUGGGAAACGGCCCAGACUCCUACGGGAGGCAGACGUAGGGAAUCUUCCGCAAUGGACGAAAGUCUGACAGGGCAACGCCGCGUGAGUGAUGAAGGCUUUCGGGUCGUAAAACUCUGUUGUUAGGGAAGAACAAGUGCUUGUUGAAUAAGCUGGCACCUUGACGGUACCUAACCAGAAAGCCACGGCUAACUACGUGCCAGCAGCCCGCGGUAA
rnacentral:rRNA from 1 species